rnacentral:misc_RNA from 1 species
GGCGAGGUCGGGUGCAUGGCCACGCUCUCCUCCCUCCUACUUGACUAACUGGCGCCCGUACCUCCUCCUCUCAACUGCUUUUACUCAAAUGGUGGAGAUAUCAGGCCUAAGUGAACGAUCACAAAAUUGUUAAUGGAAAAGGUGCAAUUCAAGACGGUCAUUAGAACAAACGCUAAAAUACAAACUCUGUAUUGAAGAGACUUUGACUUGUGCAUGCUUGCGAGUUGAUUGAGACCAGUGAAGAUGGAGAGCCCGUCUUACCUAGCGGAGGAUUCAGCCUUCCUGGACACGCUCGACCUGCCCUCCAGUGAGCUGGAUGUUCCAAGCCGGAGACAGGUGCCCGUGUCUCUGGCCAUGUCGAGUAUGAACAGUGGAGGAGGUCACCAUCAGUUUCAGCAGCAGCAACAGCAGCAGCAGCAUCAACAUCAACAUCAACAUCAACAUCAACACCAACAGCAGCAGCAACAACAGCAGCAGCACCAGCAGCACCAACCACAACACCAGCAGCAGCAACAGGCCGUCCAUAUCCAUACCCAUGCUCGUGGCCCCUCUUCCAUGAUGUGUGCCGCACCAACACAACCCCAUCACACACACCAUCUCACUGGUAGCCAUGUGCAGUCCCCACCUCACCAGAUGGGUGGUGCCAGUGGUGGUAGUUACAGCAACAUUCCCCGCCUCCAUCAUUGCAACGUUCACUCCUUUCUUUGUUCUAACCCGCCUCUCCAUCAUCAGUACCAGAUGAAUGGGGGUUGCCUUGGUCCACAGCACCAUUAUGCCCCGAUGGUGCCACCGGGUCAUCAUGCCCCUGGUCCUCUCCUGGCACCUGGUGGACCACCCCAGCUGAUGGCUGCUGCUCCUCAGCCUCCACACACCCACACUUCCUUGUAUGGCCAGGCUCCCAUGGCAGUGGCUCCCCCACAGGCCGUCCCCACCCACCUCACAGCUGUCCCCGGACAACUGUCUGCACCGCCACAAAGUCUGGGAGUGAGUGUAGCUCCUCAGCUGCCACCUCAGCACCAUCACCACACCCACCAACAACCCACGCCUCCAUUGGUCACGCCUUUCCCUGCCCACACUCACCUUCAUCAACUUCAUCAUUUACAUGCAAGCAGUGGAAGUGCAGGUAGUGCACGAGGUGCCAGUGUCGACAUGCUAGGACGGGGGCUCUAUCGUGGUCCAGGCCAAGGUCACGUACUCGGUCGCAUGAGAGGACCAAGAGGUAGCAGUGGUAGUAGUCUGGGAGGCGCGAGACGCAGUAGUUCCAGCUGGCGAGGGAAUACCAUGCCACCAGCUGCCCCUCCACCUCCUCCACCCCCACCUCUUCCUAGUGCUGCUGCAGCGGCAGCCACAUACCCUGGCAUUCUCUUACAUUUCUUGGCAAUGUUGUCACAUCCAUCGCUACACCAAUACAGCGUGGUAGACCCAGUGCCUGCAGAAGCUCCAGACACAGAGAAUUAUGAGGCCCUACUACAUCUGGCAGAGAGACUAGGCGAGGCCAAACCUAGAGGCCUUAUGAAGACCGUGAUUGACCAGCUCCCGUCCUAUAGGUAUACUGGGGAGAAGUCCGACACUAAACAGACAACAUGUGUAAUAUGCAUGUGUGAUUUCGAACUGCGGCAGAUGUUACGCGUAUUACCAUGUCUGCAUGAGUUUCAUACCAAGUGUGUUGAUAAGUGGCUCAAGACUGUGGUCAGUACCAUGCAGUUGAGUCCCUUCACUGUGGUUGGUGCCGCGCAGUUGGUACCCGUGACUGUGUUCGGUGCCGAGCGGUUGGUACCCUUGACUGUGCCCCGAGCUAACCAGUGCGUGUGUCUUGCAUGAGCAGGAGGGUGGCGUGCCUUGUGCCGUAUACCACUGCUGGCUGCUUGCAUGCUUGCAGUAUCAUGAUGAUGGCCUUUUUGGUGCCUGCAGUCAAACCGGACUUGCCCAAUUUGCCGUGGGGAUGCCAGCGAGUAUCUUAAAGAAGCGACCAGUUGUGAGUGAAGAAGGUUGAAGCAUGAGGAAAGCAGAGAGCCAGAGAAGAUUAC